rnacentral:rRNA from 1 species
CAGCCGCCACGGUAAUACGUAGGGGGCGAGCGUUGUCCGAAGUUACUGGGCGUAAAGAGCGCGUAGGCUGGUCUUUAAGUGAGUGGUGAAAGGUUCGGGCUCAACCCGGACACUGCCUUUCAUACUGGGGACCUUGAGUGUGGGAGAGGCGAGUGGAAUGGUCGGUGUAGCGGUGAAAUGCGUAGAUAUCGAUCGGAACACCCAUGGCGAAGGCAGCUCGCUGGCCUAACACUGACGCUGAGGCGCGAAAGCGUGGGGAGCAAACAGGAUUAGAUACCCCCGUAGUCCCUGUCUCUUAUAC